rfam:Mus musculus chromosome X, GRC primary reference assembly.
UCAAAGGCUCUUUUCAGAGCCACCACUUCUCCUAAGAGAGCUGUAG